rnacentral:rRNA from 1 species
GAUGAACGCUGGCGGCGUGCUUAACACAUGCAAGUCGAACGGAAAGGCCCAAGCUUGCUUGGGUACUCGAGUGGCGAACGGGGGAGUAACACGUGGGUGAUCUGCCCUGCACUUCGGGAUAAGACUGGGAAACUGGGUCUAAUACCGGAUAGGACGAUGGUUUGGAUGCCAUUGUGGAAAGUUUUUUCGGUGUGGGAUGAGCUCGCGGCGUAUCAGCUUGUUGGUGGGGUAAUGGCGUACCAAGGCGUCGACGGGUAGCCGGCGUGAGAGGGUGUACGGACGCUUUGGACUUGUGCGACGGGCCAGAGUCGUACGUGAGGCAGCAGUGGGGAAAAUCGCACAAUGCGAGCAAGCCUGAUGGAGGGAGGCCUCCGGGUUGUUGGCGGCUUUUGGUUGGUAAGCUCCUUUCGCUAGGGACGAAGCGUUUUUGUGACGGUACCUGGAGAAGAAGCACCGGCUAACUACGUG